rnacentral:rRNA from 1 species
AUUGAACGCUGGCGGCAGGCCUAACACAUGCAAGUCGAACGGUAACAGGAAACAGCUUGCUGUUUCGCUGACGAGUGGCGGACGGGUGAGCAAUGUCUGGGAAACUGCCUGAUGGAGGGGGAUAACUACUGGAAACGGUAGCUAAUACCGCAUAACGUCGCAAGACCAAAGAGGGGGACCUUCGGGCCUUCUGCCAUCGGAUGUGCUCAGAUGGGAUUAGCUUGUUGGUGGGGUAACGGCUCACCAAGGCGACGAUCCCUAGCUGGUCUGAGAGGAUGACCAGCCACACUGGAACUGAGACACGGUCCAGACUCCUACGGGAGGCAGCAGUGGGGAAUAUUGCACAAUGGGCGCAAGCCUGAUGCAGCCAUGCCGCGUGUAUGAGGAAGGCCUUCGGGUUGUAAAGUACUUUCAGCGGGGAGGAAGGGAGUAAAGUUAAUACCUUUACUCAUUGACGUUACCCGCAGAAGAAGCACCGGCUAACUCCGUGCCAGCCGCCGCCGUAA